UUUUGGAGGAAGUAAGCUCCUAAAGAGAGUGGUUUCGGGAGUAAAAAACAGACCCCCACAGCAUGUGCUUAAAGAGAAAGCAGAAAAGGGGAUAAAUUGAAAACCAAUCCCCAGCAGGCUAGAGACCCCCAGCAGGCAAUUUUGCCCACCAACCAAUUAUGGGGACAUAGAGCAAGAAAAGGGGAAGAGAGGAAAAAUCAUCCGCCGGAAAGGCACCCUCUACCACCACGAUUAAAACUAACUAAAUCCUUUUGUUUACUGCAGGAAAACAAAGGAUUGAUAAGGGUAGCAAAACGCAACGCCAGGGAAACCACCAAAAAUCGGGGCAGAAAAUUUUCUGCCGAUUGUCGAAAAUUUUCUCGGAAAAACGGGGAAAAAAUUUCAAUACAUUUAAGUUCUAGGUCGCCCACCAGUAUAACGCGGGAAUACAUUUAAGUUCUAGGUCGCCCACCAGUAAAAUGCGGGAAUACAUUUAAGUUCUAGGUCGCCCACCAGUAAAAUGCGGGAAUACAUUUAAGUUCUAGGUCGCCCACCAGUACA
rnacentral:lncRNA from 1 species